rnacentral:rRNA from 1 species
UAGGGAAUAUUGCACAAUGGGCGAAAGCCUGAUGCAGCAACGCCGCGUGCACGAUGAAGGCCUUCGGGUCGUAAAGUGCUUUUCGGGGAGAUGAGAAAGGACAGUAUCCCCGGAAUAAGGAUCGGCUAACUACGUGCCAGCAGCCGCGGUAAAAACGUAGGAUCCGAGCGUUAUCCGAAUUUACUGGGCGUAAGGCGCGUGUAGGCGGUUCGGUAAGUUGGAUGUGAAAUCUCCUGGCUCAACUGGGAGAGGUCGCUCAAUACUGUCGGACUAGAGGGUGGUAGAGGGAGGUGGAAUUCCCGGUGUAGUGGUGAAAUGCGUAGAUAUCGGGAGGAACACCAGUGGCGAAAGCGGCCUCCUAGACCGCUCCUGACGCUCAGACGCGAAAAGCUAGGGGAGCGAACGGGAUUAGAAACCCGGUAGUCCUAGCUGUAAACGAUGUGAACUUGGCGUUGGUGGGGUAAAAGCCAAUCAGUGCCGGAAGCUAAACGCGAUAAGUUCACCGCCUGGGGACUACGGCCG